rnacentral:misc_RNA from 1 species
CCGAGUUCUGGGUUCUCUCAUCGAGGCCCGCUCUCCCACCCUUUGUGAACUUAACCUCUGUUGCUUUGGCGUGGCCAGCGCUUUCCGUAAAAAGAAGCGCGGCCGGCGGGGCCUGGCCCCCGCUGGUGAGCUGCCCGCCAGAGGACUAUCAAACUCUUGUCAGUAAACGAUGCAGUCUGAUUCAAACAUUUAAUUGUUUA